UCUAACCCCACGAAGAAGUGGACUCAUCCAGUGUCAGGUUGUCAUAUGUUUGCGUAUAAAUACACAGCUUAUGUGCCACAACAGCAGACGGACACCGGAGAUCUUCUCUCUCUCUCUCUGUCUGACAACUGAAAAUAACAAAAAUGAACACCAUCACCAUCUUCUGCUUCGUGGCGUUCACUUUGGGGUUACUAACAGAUCCUCUUCGCGUGGGGACGGAGGCCAGCAACAGUACUGAUCCAACCAAUACAACAAACCCAGAUAAAAAUGCUGCUGCAACAGUUGCUGUAGCAACAUCCCUGAUCCUCAUCGGCCUUCGUCACCGCCCUCCAACUCGCUGAACGACCUUGACAUUUACCGAAUACUUCCUGUCACGUGUCAGUGUGAAGCAUCUCGCUGCGUAUGAACCUGUGGUUAUAAAAAGUUACGGUGUAUUUAAAAACGUUCGUUCCGAAUUAGGAAUACAUUUUUCUGUGUACCGUAUUGCUCGGCUGUGUAUCGUGCGGCAAGAACAGAAUGGCUUCUCGCGAUACUCUCCCAAUCAUGUUAUCGACUGGGCUCCGUCUUCGUAAAAGCAAACAUACUAUAUAGUAUGACUAGUUAACGCAUUAUUCAUCUACCAAGUUGUUUGUGUGCAUCUUAAACGGGUAUUUACUUCAAAGCAGAGUUGUUGAUUUGUGACAUUCAGCAUUACUCAUGGAAAUGUCCCCUUGAUAAAAUCUUAGCUAAAAUUGCCAUGCAUAAAUCAGGUAUUUUGACAGACUCUGUAGUCAUUGCGCUUUAUCUGGUUUAUCGAGUUUAUCAAUGCACUUUACAUUGGAAAUAAGUUCCGCCAAACGCGGAAAGAGACGAGUGGGGACGAAAACAUUAGAACACUUAUCACAAAAAAGUUGUAACUGAACAAAGAAAUAUUACUUUAAUAUUUUAUCACCACAGGUGAAGCAUUACCAUAGAGGCACUGACACAGGCGCUGACCAUAUGUAUGACAAAAUGUAUGACAAUAUGACCUUAAUUGAUAACAGUUGUGUGUGACUGUAUGAGUUGAUAUUUAUGAGUUUAUUUCAGUAUGAUUAAAAGAAGCUUUUAAUCGCA